rnacentral:tRNA from 1 species
GCGGGUGUAACUCAGUGGUAGAGUAUUACCUUGCCAAGGUAAAAGCCGUGGGUUCAAGUCCCAUCACCCGCU